rnacentral:rRNA from 1 species
CCUACGGGGGGCUGCAGUGAGGAAUAUUGGUCAAUGGACGAGAGUCUGAACCAGCCAAGUAGCGUGAAGGAUGACUGCCCUAUGGGUUGUAAACUUCUUUUAUAUGGGAAUAAAAUGUUCCACGUGUGGGUUUUUGUAUGUACCCUAUGAAUAAGGAUCGGCUAACUCCGUGCCCGCAGCCGCGGUACUACGGAGGAUCCGAGCGUUAUCCGGCUUUAUUGGGUUUAAAGGGCGUGUAGGUGGAUUGUGAAGUCAGUUGUGAAAGUUUGGGGCUCAACCGUAACAUUGCAGUUGAAACUGGCAGUCUAGAGUACAGGAGAGGUGGGCGGAAUGCGUGGUGUAGCGGUGAAAUGCGUAGAUAUCACGAAGAACUCCGAGUGCGAAGGCAGCCUGCUGGACUGUAACUGACGCUGAUGCUCGAAAGUGUGGGUAUCAAACAGGAUUAGAUACCCCGGUAGUC